GGAAGCUCAGAGAAGGGCCUGGUACCCCAGCAUGUGAAUUCCUCCAUCAUUUACUGAGCACCCACUAGGAGCCAGGUAUGACCCAUGGAUGGACCAGGGAGGAUGUCUAAAAUUCUUUCUGCGACUCUGAAACUCCCAGUCUCAGCAAGCACCACACAUUCCCACGCGACAGGAGGCAGCAGCAGGGCAGCAGCUUGUGGGCGAUGCCACCGGCCUCUUCCCCUCCAUCAGACAUCCUAAGGACGGGCUAGAUCUGGGGGUCAGAGGUGAACUGUCAUGGCUCUGUGACAGAAGCAGUGUGCCUAGAAGAGGCCCGGUCUCCUACAAAAAGCUCAGAUGGGCUGUGGCCACCCAGAUGGAUAUUCCAAAGUCGUCACCAGAGCUGAGAGACUACAGUUUAGUCCUUGACUGAUGGGGAAUUACUGCACGGGGUCUGCUGGGCUGCCCGGUCAGCCCCCACCAGAGAGGUGGGCCGUGGCCACCGUACUGUGCCUCACCUGGUGCACCUGCCAUUUAGCCACUCUCCUUCUGGACACCCCUAGCUGCAACGCACACCUGGGUGAGGCAGGACAGAACUGCUUUCUGCUCAGCAGCAGCAAGAAGGGUGGCUUUCUAUGGGUCGCAGGGAGGGAGCGGCAGGGGGCAGGGCCUCACCUGGUGCAGGGCCUCCACCACACGCACCACAUCGUAGAAGAUGACCACGGUCUCUCGCUCGCUGAGCCUCUUCUCCUUGAUGACAUAGUGCUGCAGGUUGAUGAGGUCAGCGGUCUUGUCACUGAAGUCAUGUGCACAGAGGCAGUCCAGGACGAGGCAGAUGCGCUUCUUCAUCUUCUUGACCAUUCGGCUAGAUUCUGUGUCUUCGAUGAUUUCACAGGUGCGGUCCUGGGAGGCAAGGGGG